GAAACCGGAGCUAAUACCGGAUAAUAUUUUGAACCGCAUGGUUCAAAAGUGAAAGACGGUCUUGCUGUCACUUAUAGAUGGAUUCGCGCUGCAUUAGCUAGUUGGUAAGGUAACGGCUUACCAAGGCAACGAUGCAUAGCCGACCUGAGAGGGUGAUCGGCCACACUGGAACUGAGACACGGUCCAG
rnacentral:rRNA from 1 species